rnacentral:rRNA from 1 species
UACGGAGGGCGCAAGCGUUGUUCGGAAUUACUGGGCGUAAAGCGCAUGCAGGUGGCUGAGUAAGUCGAAUGUGAAAGCCCCGGGCUCAACCCGGGAACUGCAUCCGAAACUGCUUGGCUAGAGUCCCGGAGAGGAAGGCAGAAUUCCCAAUGUAGGGGUGAAAUCCGUAGAUAUUGGGAGGAAUACCGGUGGCGAAGGCGGCCUUCUGGACGGUGACUGACACUCAGAUGCGAAAGCGUGGGGAGCAAACAGG